GCACCGAAGCUGCGGCAGCGACGCUGAUGCGUUGUUGGGUAGGGGAGCGUUCUGUAAGCCUGCGAAGGUGACCUGUGAGGGUUGCUGGAGGUAUCAGAAGUGCGAAUGCUGACAUAAGUAACGAUAAAGCGGGUGAAAAGCCCGCUCGCCGGAAGACCAAGGGUUCCUGUCCAACGUUAAUCGGGGCAGGGUGAGUCGACCCCUAAGGCGAGGCCGAAAGGCGUAGUUGAUGGGAAACGGGUUAAUAUUCCCGUACUUGGUGUUACUGCGAAGGGGGGACGGAGAAGGCUAUGUUGGCCGGGCGACGGUUGUCCCGGUUUAAGCGUGUAGGUGUGUGUUCCAGGUAAAUCCGGUUCACUUUAACACUGAGGCGUGAUGACGAGGCACUACGGUGCUGA
rnacentral:rRNA from 1 species